ensembl:snoRNA SNORD15 Small nucleolar RNA SNORD15
CUUCCAUGAAGAUAUGAUGACGAGUCUGAAAGAAGACCUCUUUGUCCAAGUGUCCUGUGCCAUGUUAUGUUUUAUAUCCUGGAUUUCAGGACCUUGGACUUGAGUCUUCAACUGAUGACUUUAGAGGCAUUUGUCUGAGAAGG